GGCUGUACUACAGGUCGUAAUUACUCUCAGCCUCCCCCAAUCAUGCACAGAAAGACUCCCUUUCCAUUUUCCUCACAGCCCAGCAAAUGGCAGCAACACAGGAUUCAAACGGAUCAACACUACACUCACAGAACCUCCUUUUCACCACUAUGCUCAUCUGCUCGGUGCAUCAUUUGCGUCAGAGAUGGUAAGU